UUUUGUGUUUUGUGUAUGUGUUUUUUAUUAUUGGUUGUUUGAUUUUGUUAUUUUUGGAGAUCCUAAAAUUUUCCACUGAACAUAUUGUGGUAAUUGUUUCAUGUAAUGUAAUAUUAUUAUUUUGUAGUUGCUCCAUAGUUCUUGAAUAUUCUGCUCUGUCCGUCUGUUCACAGCUUCCCUUGGCUAGGUAAGGGAAUUCCCUGACUCCUUGUGCUUCUUGGGUGAGGUGAUGCCUUGCCCUGCUUCAGCUCACGCUCGGUGGGCUGCACCCACUGUCCUGCACCCACUGUCUGACAAGCCCCAGUGAGAUGAACCUGGUACCUCACUUGGAAAUGCAGAAAUCACCUGUCUUCUGCGUCGCUCAUGCUGGGAGCCAUAGACUGGAGCUGUUCCUAUUCAGCCAUCUUCUUGGCACUGAUACAU
rnacentral:lncRNA from 1 species